GAUCAUGGCUCAGAUUGAACGCUGGCGGCAUGCCUAACACAUGCAAGUCGAACGAGGGUAGCAAUACUCUAGUGGCGGACGGGUGAGGAAUACAUAGGAAUUUGCCCUUAAGUGGGGGAUAACCCGGGGAAACCCGGACUAAUACCGCAUGAACUCGAGAGAGCAAAGCAGGGGAUCGUAAGACCUUGCGCUUUUGGAGAAGCCUAUGUCGGAUUAGCUUGUUGGUGAGGUAAUGGCUCACCAAGG
rnacentral:rRNA from 1 species